rnacentral:rRNA from 1 species
AUACGUAGGGGGCGAGCGUUGUCCGGAAUGAUUGGGCGUAAAGGGCGCGUAGGCGGCCCGGUAAGUCUGGAGUGAAAGUCCUGUUUUUAAGAUGGGAAUUGCUUUGGAUACUGUCGGGCUUGAGUGCAGGAGAGGUAAGUGGAAUUCCCAGUGUAGCGGUGAAAUGCGUAGAGAUUGGGAGGAACACCAGUGGCGAAGGCGACUUACUGGACUGUAACUGACGCUGAGGCGCGAAAGUGUGGGGAGCAAACAGGAUUAGAUACCCUGGUAGUCCACACUGUAAACGAUGAAUGCUAGGUGUAGGGGGUAUGGACCCCUUCUGUGCCGCAGUCAACACAAUAAGCAUUCCGCCUGGUGAGUACGGCCGCAAGGUUGAAACUCAAAUGAAUUGGCGGGG